rnacentral:rRNA from 1 species
UACGGAGGAUGCAAGCGUUAUCCGGAAUUAUUGGGCGUAAAGCGUCCGCAGGUGGCAAUGUAAGUCUGCUGUUAAAGAGUCUAGCUCAACUAGAUAAAAGCAGUGGAAACUACAUAGCUAGAGUACGUUCGGGGCAGAGGGAAUUCCUGGUGUAGCGGUGAAAUGCGUAGAUAUCAGGAAGAACACCGGUGGCGAAAGCGGCAUCCUGGACCGGCAUUGACGCUGAGGCGCGAAAGCUAGGGGAGCAAACGGG